rnacentral:tRNA from 2 species
GCGCCCUUAGCUCAGUUGGUAGAGCAACUGACUCUUAAUCAGUGGGUCUAGGGUUCGAAUCCCUAAGGGCGUA